rnacentral:tRNA from 1 species
UCGGGAGUAGCCAAGUGGUAAGGCACCGGGUUUUGGUCCCGGCAUUCGUGGGUUCGAAUCCUACCUCCCGAGCCA